UAGGUCGUGGUUGGCACUACGUCUGUUUCCUGUGAGAAAAAGUGUCAUGGCAGCUUCUGGUUUUGUCGUUGAACCAGCGCGAAGUUCAAGCUACGUGUUUAUUUGCGGCAAGCACUCUUCCUCGCGGUAAAUUUACUCUUCAGUGACGACAGUGAUGAACACAAAUGUUCACAGGUUCAUAGUGCACCUCAUGUCAAGGACGGGUAGGUGUACUUGCUGCCAAGAACCACAAAGGAGGAUAAGUGACAGUGGUGGAAAUGAAUCUGCACUCCAGUCAAGUGCACAAUGAGCUAAGUCAGGAACAUUAUUGAAACGAACCAUAAGAUAAGCAUUUUAAAAACUGCUAAUAAAGCAUUGUCUUGGCUUCAUCAACCAA